rnacentral:lncRNA from 1 species
CUUUCUCGGCAGCGCCGUAGAGCGCGAGCAGACGGUGCAGCAUGGCGCACAGCGGAGGCCGCGGGCGGCCGAACCCGGCGUGUCCUUGGGCGUUUCCAGGUGCAACAAAACCUGCUCAUUUGAAGGUGCUUGAACAAAUAUUUUCUAAACACUUGUCAUGGAGAGUGAUUGAAACAAGCUGCCAGGACUACAUUUGCCAAUAACAAGGUACAAAUUGUGUGUGUGGUUUUUUUUUUUCUUUGAGGUUUGAUUAACAGGGCCUUAAUAGCUGGCACAAUGAUGACUUAAGUUUUUGCCGUUUACCCAGCUGAGUGUUUCUUUGAAGAGAGAAUCUUAAAAGACUGAGAUGCCAGCAGUAUAUAGAUGAUGCAAAUGACUAACAUGUGACGCCAUUGUUAAAAUGGGUUACUGUUUGUUCUCCCCAGCAUGUAGGUGGCUGUAGUGGAUGUCCAACUUUGGGAGCUGUGAUGUCUAAAAACCCUUUAUUGUUUUGGGUGCAGCUUACAUAUUGGAAGGUAAAAUGAAGGCCAUGAACAAAGUCAAGAAGCCAUAAACAGAAGCAAAUGGUGAAAAUUAAUAUCUAAUUUAAUAUUAAUAAGUUAUAUAUAAAUAAACAGUUAUUCUUAAUUGCUGUGGGCAGUAAUUUCUUUAAAAUGUCAUUCUCGUAGUAAAAUAAACUCGUCUUUCAUGA